rnacentral:rRNA from 1 species
AACGAACGCUGGCGGCAUGCCUAACACAUGCAAGUCGAACGAGAAAGUUCUUCGGAACGAGUAAAGUGGCGCACGGGUGCGUAACACGUAGGUGACCUACCGUUUGGAAGGGGAUAACUCGAAGAAAUUCGAGCUAAUACCGUAUAAGGACUUAUUCCUGAAGGUUUAAGUCGAAAGGAGGCCUCUCCUUGGAAGCUUCCACCGAACGAUGGGCCUGCGGGACAUUAGCUUGAUGGUGGGGUAAUGGCCUACCAUGGCAACGAUGUCUAGCUGGUCUGAGAGGAUGAUCAGCCACACUGGGACUGAGACACGGCCCAG